rnacentral:rRNA from 1 species
UACGUAGGGUGCGAGCGUUGUCCGGAAUUACUGGGCGUGAAGAGCUCGUAGGUGGUUUGUCGCGUUGUUCGUGAAAACCUGAGGCUUAACCUUGGGCGUGCGGGCGAUACGGGCAGACUGGAGUACUGCAGGGGAGACUGGAAUUCCUGGUGUAGCGGUGGAAUGCGCAGAUAUCAGGAGGAACACCGGUGGCGAAGGCGGGUCUCUGGGCAGUAACUGACGCUGAGGAGCGAAAGCGUGGGGAGCGAACAGG